AUUUUUUGUUCACUAGGGUAUAACUAAAAUCGGCUUGUAAAAGCUUCAGAUCUCUUGUCUGUCAUCUUUGAAGGUCCCUCCUUUUUAACCUCACCCACACUUUCUAUGGCUGUCCAAUCACAGACUUCCCAGUGCAGCACAAUGACAAGUCCCUACAAGGCAGGUGCCCUGAGCAAUUGCUGCCUCUUGAGUUCGGUUCCACUGAGCUAAACAACUGGGAAGUAACAGGAUCAGUUGAAUGGUUGACAGCCAGGGGACGUAACAAAAUGUAUUUCUAUUGAAAUCUGCAUUUUUUGUAAAAUGAAAAAAAGGACACUCUGUUCACACAUGAAGCACUUUAGAUUGCUGGAACACUUUUUAGGGUCCAUAGUGUAGUGGAGCUCCCUUUCCCCUGGCUGGGUACCUCCACCAAUGACCGCUUCCUAGCUGGAACCAGGAAAAACCGGCCCUCUUCUGCCCCAGUUUCCGUGGCUUGACUGGUGACCUCCUGGAGCCUCUCCGUCCUGGAGCAGGUUAGGGGACUAGCUCUAUUCUCUCCCAGGGACUGGAUAAAACACAGUCCUGGGAGCUGUAGACCUUACAAGGAUUUUCCCAGCUGAAGCCUCCACGAGCUGGAACAAGGUGCUGAGCAGUGAUUAGCCCAGGGCUGCCCAACAGGUAGAUCCCCAGAUGUUGUAGAACUACAACUCACAUGAUGCUUUAUCAUUCUAAAUGCAUUCUAAAAGCAUCAUGAGAGUUGUAGUUCUAUAACAUCUGGGGAUCUACCUGUUGUGUGACCUGGAUUAGCCAUUUCUUCUCCCAGUAACUAGACGACACAUAAUUCUGGGACUACUACUGAUUUUAAUGAGCCAAACUCUGCCUUUU